rnacentral:rRNA from 1 species
GAUGAACGCUGGCGGCGUGCCUAAUACAUGCAAGUCGAGCGAACUUUUGGGAGCUUGCUCCCAAAAGUUAGCGGCGGACGGGUGAGUAACACGUGGGUAACCUGCCUGUAAGACUGGGAUAACUUCGGGAAACCGGAGCUAAUACCGGAUAACAUUGAAGACUACAUGGCCUUCAAUUAAAAGUUGGCUUUUAGCUACCACUUACAGAUGCACCCGCGGCGCAUUAGCUAGUUGGUGAGGUAACGGCUCACCAAGGCGACGCUGCGUAGCCGACCUGAGAGGGUGGUCGGCCACACUGGGACUGAGACACGGCACAGACGGCUACGGGGGGCAGCAGUAGAGAAUAUUCGGCAAUGGAGGAGAGUCAGGCGGAGCGACGCGGCGAGAGGGAAGAAGACCUUCGGGUCGUAAAGAUCUGUUGUUAGGGAAGAACAAGUAUCGGCCGAAUAGGGCGGUAGCUUGACGGUACCUAAACAGAAAGCCACGGCUAACUACGUG